UACGUAGGGGGCAAGCGUUGUCCGGAAUCAUUGGGCGUAAAGAGCGUGUAGGCGGCUCGGUAAGUCCGUUGUGAAAGUCCAGGGCUCAACCCUGGAAUGCCGGUGGAAACUGUCGGGCUAGAGUCCGGAAGAGGCGAGUGGAAUUCCUGGUGUAGCGGUGAAAUGCGCAGAUAUCAGGAGGAACACCAAUGGCGAAGGCAGCUCGCUGGGACGGUACUGACGCUGAGACGCGAAAGCGUGGGGAGCAAACAGG
rnacentral:rRNA from 1 species